GCAGAGGUAUUAGUAAAAUUUACAUAACCUUGUCAAGGUUAAAUUAUAGGUUCAACCCCUAUAUACCUC
rnacentral:tRNA from 1 species